rnacentral:rRNA from 1 species
GACGAACGCUGGCGGCGUGCCUAAUACAUGCAAGUCGAGCGGACUUGAGGAGAAGCUUGCUUCUCUGAUGGUUAGCGGCGGACGGGUGAGUAACACGUAGGCAACCUGCCUGUAAGACUGGGAUAACUACCGGAAACGGUAGCUAAUACCGGAUAGCUGGUUUUCUCGCAUGAGAGAAUUAUGAAAGAUGGAGCAAUCUAUCACUUACGGAUGGGCCUGCGGCGCAUUAGCUAGUUGGUGAGGUAAUGGCUCACCAAGGCGACGAUGCGUAGCCGACCUGAGAGGGUGAACGGCCACACUGGGACUGAGACACGGCCCAGACUCCUACGGGAGGCAGCAGUAGGGAAUCUUCCGCAAUGGACGAAAGUCUGACGGAGCAACGCCGCGUGAGUGAUGAAGGUUUUCGGAUCGUAAAGCUCUGUUGCCAGGGAAGAACGACUUGGAGAGUCACCGCUCCAAGUGUGACGGUACCUGAGAAGAAAGCCCCGGCUAACUUCGUGCCAGCCGCCGCCGUAAAAC